GGCACUCCGUCUCGUGAGAUCCCUCGUCGCUCCCGCCCCGACGCAACUUCCCCGGUGGCGGGUCGGGAGCGAGGAGGGAUCCCGCCGGACGGCCCCGCAGAA
rfam:Brachybacterium phenoliresistens strain W13A50 genomic scaffold V9__scaffold_07, whole genome shotgun sequence.